AUGAAUCUUGAGUUUGAUUUCAAUAUUAACUUUAGGGUAAAAACAUUAGUUUUUAACUCAUUUCCUUUAACUUUAAAAACCACUUUUUUUUUUUUUUUUGUAAUAACUGGAAUGUUCCACGAUUUGUGUUUUGAAAACUAUAUAAUAAUCAUCACAGAUUAUAAAGAUUCACCUCAAGCCUUCACAAAAAAGUAUAUCUACUUUUUCAUAGUCCAUACUUCUGCUGAGUUACAUUUUAUUAAACUGUUGACAGGAAACUACUCAAUUACAGAAAUCUUGUACUGGUUUUAUUCACAAUUAUCCAAAUAAAACUUCUUUGAAUGAAAAGAACAACACUCAGAAAACAUGCUGGAAAGGAACUACUUAAAAAAUAUUCACUCUGUCAGGCUUUGGCAGUUGAGGAAGAGGGACAAAAUUGAGGAAAAGGGAAAGGUUAAUCUAUCUGUGUGAUAUUUUUAACUUGGCAGUAUCAAAUAAAUGGCAGGGGUAUUAUAAGAAAUGUCAGCUGUGCUAAUGCUUUCAAAGCCUUAGCACUUUAAAAUGAUCAUCAGUAUUCAGUUCAAACACAUUGGACUCAUGAGCACUGAUGAAGACACAUCCUAAUAUUUUUUUCUUCUAGGUUUAAACCAUCACAAAGGAGGAAGUUUUGAAUCAAAGUGUUUAUUCUUUGUAUCUGACAAGCAUGUUAGAAGUCUGAACUCCUAACCUAUUGCUAUUUCCAAAUAUGAGCUUGACAUUAUGCCAGAGUGCAUACAGAACCCUGGAAGCAGCAGACUGCCAUCUUAAUAUUAUAAUUUUAAUGUAUUCCCCAGAUAGUCAGAAGUUAAAACUCCACAACAUACCUUAUUCUCAUAAAAGUUAUAAAUUUCUUUCAAUAAAAGCCAUAGCUUCUUAGUCUGGUUAGUUUAACUACAGACAGCUCUUACACCAAUUCCUAAUUAUACGAAGGGUCUAAAUAACAGAAAAAAGUUACACAGUAUUUUGAAGGAGUCUAUUCAUGCUUCAUUAAGGAGCCAAAUCUCAAUGAAAUAUUCAAUAUUCAGGGACCAGUGAUAUCACCACAUAACUUGAAUACAAGAGGAAACAAAUUCACAUUUUAAAAUACCAUAGAUUAUGAAAUUUUAAAAAAUGUUCCUGCUUUCAGAGCAUAGAGAAAAUACUUGAUUAAGCCAAAUGUCACAAUGCUAACUAAUAGGUUUAGUGGCUUGGUGGAAAUGCAUUAAAAGUUUCUAUCAUUUAUGUCUCAUUUAAUUAAAACAAAAUCAAAGUCUAUAAAUACAAAGGAUAAAUAAUCCAAAACUAGAAGCCAAAUCAUGUAAGAGACAACAACCAAACAAAAAAGCUGGAUAAGAGUUUUGACAGCCUAAAUCCUGGAUUCAAAUUAUGCCAACAUCUUAUUCUCAAAUGCUGAUUAUUCAGGUUUGACACGUCACUUAGGCAUACGGAGGAGUUAGUGAAAUCAAGUCUGAGGAUUCACGUGAACAAAAUUUUAUCAGACCCAAAGAUUCUAACUAUGUCCUGACUUCAGCAGGCUAAAAACUAAAAACAUGUACUUUUUUAAUAUAAAGUUUCACACCCUCACAUUUCUAAUUCCAUGAGACAUGACACAAUGUUAUUUGAUCAGGGCACAUUAAAGACUUAUUAAAGGAAUGAAAAGGAUUGGAAUGUUUUUAAAACUUCUCUUUGAUAAUGUUAACUAUCCCCUUGAUGCACUCUUAAAUUCUAUAAUGUUUUAUUAAAAUGACAGUGCCACAGACUCCUAGUAUGGCUACAGAACUAAUUUUUUAAGCUUUGCUGAUGAAAAUUAAUUUCAGACUAAUCCAAGAGUUAAGAUAAACAUUAUUUAAAACAUACAGGUAUGUCCCAUUCCAAGAAAUUGAUAUACACAAAACCCCUUGCUUAUAAAAUAGCCAACGGAGGGAUGGAAUUGUUAAUAUUAAUCACAGAAAAACUUUUUUCACUUUGUAAAGUGAUUCACUUGGGCAUUUGUUGAAACAGAAUUUGGAAUAUAAAAUCUUGAUUAAUGAAUUUUCCAGGAAACAUCUAGUUCAAGAUUUGAGCUCACCUACAUCUAGAUUUGGUAUAUUAAGGGAAAGAAAGAAAAUGGGUAUGCAUGAAGAGUCAAAGCAAAUGACAAAAAUCACAACAGUACACACUAAUAAAUGAAGAAAUCAAGAGACAGUUUCAUUAAUUAAUAUAUUUUCUGCAUUAUAGUUAACAUACGUACUUUCUUCGUGUCACCUUAUUUUCCGUUACGUAUUGAUAUUUUGUUAUAUUCAGACAUGAGUACAUUUCAACAGUCUUUUGCAAUAAAUAUCAUAAAAUAAUAGAGAUUCGCAUAAUAAAUAUUCUUUACAAUAAAAAAGUUUAACAGACUUUUGUCUUAAAAAUAGUCAGAAUUCAACUUUGUGAUUUAUACAUAAAAUAUACAAAAAGCACCACAAUUUGUGGUUAAGGCAAUGAAACAGAAAAGAUUAGAACUACCCAGCUGUUAACUAACCAAGUGGCCAAAAACCAUUAAGGAGCCAAGAUCACUUCAGGCAGCAUAGUUCCGUGACAUCUAUAGAUUGAUCAGAUAUAAAUAUCAACUUCAGUUAUCCAAGUGCCGUCAAUGACAAGAGUAAUUUGGUGAAAAGCAAGGAGUAUGGAAGGGAGGGAGUCGAGUCCUUCACAAAUAUGAAAGCUUGAAUAAGGAUGAGCAAGAUACAACCAAUAUAUCUCCAAUGUGAAGACUUACAUUGUAAAGCAGACCUAAAAUUACACAGGAAAAAACAAAACAAAACAAAACAGAAAACCCUGGCAUCUCUAAAAAUGAUAACGCCAAAACUGAGGGGAUAGAAAGUUGAGAAGCAAGAAGGAGAGGGCAGUGGUUAAAGGAGAAUCUUAACGUUGUAACAAAAACAGAUCUCCCAUGCUACUUAAGUGUCUAAUGAUAUGAAGAUAGCCCUAAUUGGGGACAGAUUUAAUAUAUAGCUUAUUUAAGCAAUUAAAUGGCUGCUUCUUUAAACACCAAUUUCCCUGUUCCCAGAGUACCCAAUCAAAAACAGCUCUAAAUCACUGUAGCCUGGGUGUACAUGUGUGGAUAUGUUCACGUGUACAACUUGGGAAAAUUGCUUGCAGAACAAAAAGGCUACACAAAAGCCCACUGGCUCUCAAUACCCUCUCAAGUGGAUGGCAGAGGCUCUUGUCAUAAGGGGGAGCCAGAUGCAUUUCACAGUCCACUCUUACUGAAGAUCAUCCAUUAGAGAAGAGUACAAUCCAUGAGUCAAACCUUGGAAAGAAGGGGAAAAAGGUGGGACAGGGGAAAACUGCAAAGAAAAUUAAACCAGUAUCUGACAGCAUCUUUUUUAACAGCCACAGCUUGAAAGCAAGAGAAGUUCAGGAGGUCCAACCCACCUCCAAAAAUCAUGAUGGUUUACCCAGUCCCCGGGAG
ensembl:lincRNA